rnacentral:tRNA from 1 species
CAAGGUAUAGCUAAGACAAAUUAAAGCAGCUCCCUUACACUGAGCCAUCAUCCGUGCAAAUCGGAUUACCCUGA